UUCCGUUUGGGAGAUGAAAACAUUAGUCCGAUUGUCGGCAUGUACAGUGCUGAGGAUUAUGUAACAGCGUACUCAUUCAGUCGCCAUGAAAUACCAAUAGAUAUGAGUAUACGUUUCCAGCAGUAUAGCGACGACCCUGAUGCCUUUAGGAUAAACCGCCAACACUAAGCCAUUUAAGCCGUUUAUAAUAUAAGGAUGCGCUGCAAUUAACCGCCGGAGAACCGCAUAGACGGUCGGGAGGAGGCGGGCCUGUUACACACUAUCUGAUACACAAUAUCUGUGUGUCAAGUCGACUGCUAUUCAGAGUAGAGGUGAUCGUAUGUUACGAGAGGGGUGGUCCACAUUGCUGAUAACGUUGUGUGUACUCUUAUAAUACAUCCAUGGCUGUACUCUAUUGAGUAUUCAUUACGCAGAGGAAUAAAAUCACGAGUGAACUCUUCAAAUACUGCGAAACAUGGCAUCUCUCAAACAUCGCCUUUCAAUGCCCGUGGUAGCGGGCGUGCUGCUGGUCGGUGUACCCUAUUCAAUCUCCUUAGCGGCCCAGUGGCUGUACGGUUGGCCAAAUAAGCCCGGCUGUAGAAAAUACAUAGAGGCUCUGAGACCCAGGCGAAUCUACUGCCUGACCAGAGCUGUGCUCGAAACACUAAAAUACCUACAGUACGGAAAACUGUACUUCCAGUGGAAGUUAUGGUACAAGAACGAUGAGAACCGGAAACAUUAUGAGAAGGGCAUCACCUUCGGGCGCCGAAGCAACAAGAUGGACCUGUACUACAGCCCCCAAGGGGCCAGGGUGGCCGGGGACAAGCCGGUUCCCCUGGUGGUGUUCAUCUACGGCGGGGCUUGGGGAUCUGGGGACCGGUCCAUCUACUGUCUGCUGGCCAGGCGGAUGGCUGAGGAGCUGGGUGCCACUGUGGCGUGCCCCGACUACGUCACCUACCCAAAGGGGAAUGUUUUGUGCAUGGUCCAAGAUAUCACGGACUGUCUAGUUUGGGCACGAGAGAACGACAAAAAGUACAACUUUGACAAGGACAACAUAGUGUUGGUGGGGCACUCUGCGGGCGCUCAUCUGUCGGCCCUGGCCAUCCUGUUCCUCAUCGACUGCAGAGACGAGCUCUUCGUCGAAGCAGGCAUGCAGCGGAACAUCGCCAAGGCGAUCAAAGGACUCAUUGGUCUGAGCGGCGUAUACAACAUCGUGGAUCACUAUGAGCAUGAGCAAAUGCGAGCGGUGGAAUACGUGUCCACCAUGCAUAAAGCUAUGAAUGGAGUCCACAACUUCCCUUACUACUCGCCAGAGCACAUCCUCAACACAUUCAGCCAAGACAAGCUGGAGAGGUGGGACUCGCACAGACUUUGAUCCUGUUCCUGAAUUUGGUGUUGUGUAAUUGUUUUAGUUGUUGACAGUCCAAGUGCACAAUCCACUCCUUAUUUACUAGAUUUGUUUCUCGUCACUCGGCCGGUGUGAAGUGAAAUGGAAUGAAAUGGUUGACGACAGGAGAAUACUAAAAAAACUGCAUUUCCUUCAUGACUCGUUGACUUACUGAUGUAAUUCCGCCAAUCAGCCUCAUCCACGGAACCAAUGACAUCAUCGUUCCUGCCGAAUCGUCCAUCAAGUUCUCCCAGCUCCUGACGUCUCUCUGUGUGAAGACAGCCCUCUACAUACUGCCAAAUAUCGACCACACCGAGAUCGUCACCGACCUCAUGGUGCCUGACCGGCACUUUUACCACGCUGUCUACAGCUGCAUCAAGCAGGAGUACAACAAACUCAUUGGUGUCUGCUGAGGGCCUCCAACUAGGUUCUGAAGGCCGUCACCCGGUCAUCUUUGUGCUCUUUGCCUCAUUUGUAUCCUCGCCUACUACAUACCUCAUUUAUGUUAACGACGUCAUAACGAUUCCAGAGUGGCUUUUCCACUGCAACACACCAUACUUUGUUGGGUCAUAUUGUGUCUGAAUUGUAUUUAAUGCUAUGUAUUCUUAUGACAUUUUGUGUCAUAUUAUGACAUUUAUGAGGUGAUUAUCUUGUAAGAAUUUCAUGACGGAUGUUUUUAAUACGAGCCUUACUGAGUUAAUGGAAUAAUGAAUUGUGUAAAGAUAGUCGUUUUAAUAUAUCAAAAGCCACUGGUAUUAAUGCAGGUUGUAUUGACAUUGAUAUUUAAUAUUAUUAACCUCACUGGAUUUGUCAUGUGAUAACUUUAAGCACAUAACUCUUGCCUUAUGCUGGUCCAUAUAUUGAAUGAAAUGGAUUUUGUGUUGUCGGAAUGUCUCCGUCCAUGUCACCUAUUAAGUUAUUUUGGAAAUUAAAUGUUUGAAGGUACAAUAUGUGUCAAAUUUACUGUCCUAAAAUACUGAGCAUGAUUUGUCAUUAGAGAUGAAGGAAAGUUAGUUCGAAAAUGCUAAGCAAUAUUUGCCAAGUUAAAAUAGUGGCAUCUCUGUCUAC
ensembl:lncRNA